GGCUCCAUAGUGUAGUGGUUAGCACGUCUGCUUUACACGCAGCAGGUCCUGGAUUCACACCCCAGGUGGAGCUA
rfam:Pteropus alecto contig167038, whole genome shotgun sequence.